rnacentral:rRNA from 1 species
GACGAACGCUGGCGGCGUGCUUAACACAUGCAAGUCGAACGGUGACCCUCGGAGCUUGCUUCGGGGUGAACAGUGGCGAACGGGUGAGUAACACGUGAGUAACCUGCCCCUGACUCUGGAAUAAGCGCUGGAAACGGCGUCUAAUACCGGAUACGACACGCCUCCGCAUGGGGAGCGUGUGGAAAGUUUUUCGGUCUGGGAUGGACGCGCGGCCUAUCAGCUUGUGGGUGAGGUAAUGGCUCGCCAAGGCGAUGACGGGUAGCCGGCCUGAGAGGGCGACCGGCCACACUGGGACUGAGACACGGCCCAGACUCCUACGGGAGGCAGCAGUGGGGAAUAUUGCACAAUGGGCGAAAGCCUGAUGCAGCGACGCCGCGUGAGGGAUGACGGCCUUCGGGUUGUAAACCUCUUUCAGCAGGGAAGAAGCGAAAGUGACGGUACCUGCAGAAGAAGCACCGGCUAACUACGUGCCAGCAGCCGCCGUAA